AGUUGAAACUUGGGCCUGGCUGGCAGGUCCGCCUCACCGCGUGUACUUGUCCGGCCGGGCCUUUCCUUCUGGAGAACCUCAUGCCCUUCACUGGGUGUGCUGGGGAACCAGGACUUUUACUUUGAAAAAAUUAGAGUGUUCAAAGCAGGCCUUUGCUCGAAUACGUUAGCAUGGAAUAAUAGAAUAGGACGUGCGGUCCUAUUUUGUUGGUUUCUAGGACCGCCGUAAUGAUUAAUAGGGACAGUCGGGGGCAUCAGUAUUCAAUUGUCAGAGGUGAAAUUCUUGGAUUUAUUGAAGACUAACUACUGCGAAAGCAUUUGCCAAGGAUGUUUUCAUUAAUCAGUGAACGAAAGUUAGGGGAUCGAAGACGAUCAGAUACCGUCGUAGUCUUAACCGUAAACUAUGCCGACUAGGGAUCGGGCGAUGUUCUUUUUCUGACUCGCUCGGCACCUUACGAGAAAUCAAAGUUUUUGGGUUCUGGGGGGAGUAUGGUCGCAAGGCUGAAACUUAAGGAAAUUGACGGAAGGGCACCACCAGGCGUGGAGCCUGCGGCUUAAUUUGACUCAACACGGGGAAACUCACCAGGUCCAGAUGAAAUAAGGAUUGACAGAUUGAGAGCUCUUUCUUGAUUUUUCAGGUGGUGGUGCAUGGCCGUUCUUAGUUGGUGGAGUGAUUUGUCUGCUUAAUUGCGAUAACGAACGAGACCUUAACCUGCUAAAUAGCCAGGCUAGCUUUGGCUGGUCGCCGGCUUCUUAGAGGGACUAUCGGCUCAAGCCGAUGGAAGUUUGAGGCAAUAACAGGUCUGUGAUGCCCUUAGAUGUUCUGGGCCGCGCGCGCGCUACACUGACAGAGCCAACGAGUUAUUCACCUUGGCCGGAAGGUCUGGGUAAUCUUGUUAAACUCUGUCGUGCUGGGGAUAGAGCAUUGCAAUUAUUGCUCUUCAACGAGGAAUGCCUA
rnacentral:rRNA from 1 species